CAGUUGGUUGCGGUUUAUAAAGUGCUCUGAGUACAUUACAGCAGAUGCUGAUGACACUACUAAUCUAUCUUUGCCAUUUCAGACCAGCAAAUAGCGUUGAUUUUUAUUAGUUUUUUUUUUUUUUUUUUUUUAUCUCGCCAGCUUUUUUUAUUUUAAUUAUAUACAAAAUAAGUUAUUUUCAUACCUAAGCUCGAUGUCAAAAUAUUACAUAUCAGUGAAGUCUGUGAACCGAAUGGAGUUCAUACAGCUUAUAUUUUAUGUAGAUAGCGAGUGACCUAAACAUAUGGCACAUAUGGUGCAAUUAUUCCCUCACUGCGCGUCUUGUUGAAAUUCAGUGGCAGAGCGAAACACGACGAGAGCUGCUACAACUGAGAAAGUCAGAUUAGUUUAUCAAACGUGUGCAUAUGUAGGACUAUUUCAUGACUGAGUCAAAAAAAAAAAAACGUAUGUUUAAUUUAGCAGUACUCUGAGGGGUCAGGGAAACUGAUGCAGAAUAAUUGGACGCAGAGGGAAUCCAUACCAAUUUGUGAUUUCAGAAUCUACUUGAGAAAUUAGAUCAUUCUAAAAUCCCGGUUAUAUUUAAAUGUUUGUGUUUAUUCCACAUGGACGCAUGCUGAAGCAGAAAUGCUAAACAAGAUCAUUUUGGACUUCAUUCCUUGGCGGAAGCUUUAAGAAGAAAGUUACACAUGGGAUGAUGGCAUGAUGUGACUUGUGACUGCCCACCCAUCUUAAUUGAACCUUUCAGUUUGCUAUUAAAGCAUCGUUGUUCAAACACCUGCUGUGAUCAAAACAUCACUCUGACUUUAACUAACUACUCUGUGACAGACACCUAAUGUCUUUUCAUUGAAAAUUACAGAGAACCUGACACACCACGCUUGAGUGCAGAAGCCUGGCUAAAACCUGCACAGGUGUUGAACCACAGCAGGAAAAGGAGCAGAGAAAGAUCCACUUUCUGAAUAAAUCAAGCAGAAGCAAUAUCCUGCAUGUGUAGAGAGAUGGACGGGAGCCCAUGUAAUAUUAAAAGCGCCGUGUCUGGCAACGCAAGCGGUGCCACUCCUUUCAUUGCUCCUGCUCCCUCCACUACCCGGCCACUGGCUCUUCUCUCAAGGUGACACUUCAAAGCACCAACGCAGACGUGGAAGGCCUGGCUGCCAGCAUGGAGCCAACCCAACCCUCCUCCACCCCCUUCCUCAAACAGGCGCUUGCUACCCCCGCUGGGCCAGGUCAACGCCAAGAAUCCACACCGCUUGCCACUCGGGAACCCUUGUCAAAAUCUGCUUCGUAUCCUUAAUUAAUAACACUCCUUUCCUAUUGCAAACACGAGGGGGGAGAGAGUGCCCGUCUGGAGUCCACUGGCACUGUUUGUUACUUGAGUCUCAAUUCUGAAAAAGAGUUGUGCUGAAAAUGAAGGCGGUGUUAUCUGUUACACCAAUAUCUGUUGGAAUUUAGGAUGCCCCUCAUUGCGACUCAUCCAGAGAAAUGUGCACCCUAAGGAAUAAUUUGUGAAGGUUCAAGUGGGUACAUGAAAAAUGCAGCAUACGGAGGUAGGAAGACAUCAAGACAUGUCCGAAUCCAGUGUUCUUGUAUAACAUGCCUUCAGCUGCAACAGUAUCAUUUGCUGUAUAAUAUAUCCGGGAAUUCUGUGCGUACGAUUUGGUGGUUCGUGGAAGGAAUGAAAAUAUAGACUCCAAAGUUUUAAGCAUAGGUUAUGUUUUUGGUCUGCUGAAAAGUUUUUAAAAAACAUAUGCUAAAAUGGCCGUGUAUUUCACGUGUGUGAUCUUUCAUACUUGUUAAGCUUUUAUGAUAAUCAAAUUCCAUCAUGCAUAAAUAUAUAUUUCACCCCAAAAAAUGUAACAUUCUGUCAUCAUUUAAGGCCC
ensembl:lncRNA